GAUUUCAAGUAUCAAAUGGUGAGCUUGCAGGUGUGACAACCAAGCUUUUGUUUUCUUGGUGUAUAGAGCUAGUAGAUGAAUAUAUUUCAGAUCCUCUUCGGAGAUGCAAGGCAAUAUUUCCUUGCUAGUAACGCAUCAUUGAGUCUACGCUGUUCGUAUUCUGGAGUAAAAUUUAAAAACCUGGUUUCUUCUGGGAAGAUGAUAUAGAAGAUCAGGAGAUGCUGUGGAACUCAAGAAUAUAAGUGGGGUAUACUUAGAUGGGAGGGAUACAGCACGUCUUGCAGUUCAGCCAUGUGAUCUACCAUCUUUCCAAACUGAUGUCUUUUGAGAAGAAUGCUGCUACUUCCAGAGGGUGGUGUCUGCAUAAGUGUAUACCUUUUCCUUGGUGAGAAAGGAGAAUAUUGACCAGCAAGCUAAGUCUGGUAACGGUGAUCAUCAUACCUGGAAGAAAACCGAGCUCUCAGAUGAAUUUUCACAUUCAUUAGGAGUUUACAAAAGGGCUGAAGGUGGGGCAGUCGAUUCUGCAAACUUAAAUAGCAGGCACCAGCAAUAACAAGUGAGACUGUUGUUAAAUAGUUAAUAACAGAUGGCUGAACUUCUGAUGCAAAUGAUCAGGCAGAACAAGAGAAGUUCUCUGCAUCCUGACCCAGUGACUCCUCGCUGUUCCCAUAGCAACUAACACAUUUUUCCAGUUUUAGCAAAGUUUUUUGGAACCGAAGAUGACUUGUUGGUUUUACGACUUUAAAAUAAAUGUAAAAGACAAAGUGAAGCAGCUGGAUAAGAACGUGGAUAUGAAUUCCUAGGUAUCUUGUGCAUUUUCGUUCCUAUAAGAUCUUUCUAAAAGACCUCUUAAGCACUGUGCGUUUUAAGAAGCCUGUCAGUUAAAGCAUAUGUUUAAAUGUGAAAGUUAAUAAUCUGAGCAGAUCCACCUGAAUCCUUUUCAUUUAACCUAACUAACAUGAAAAUUACCUGUUGCUAUUGUUAGAAUAUUGCAAGGGGAAAAGUGGGGAGGAGGAGGAGCUUUUUAGUGUAGCACAGAGAAGCAAGGUAGGCCUGUAGCUCGUGGGAUGGAUGUGGCUUCUUAUCUGUGGCCAUAGAGGAGCUGGAAGCUCUGCUGGCCACUGCACAAGAUAGGGCCUUGUGUGCUCCUCUGGUGGGGCAAAAUUGUUAAAGUCUAGAAGAGCAUUGUGGAGAUACAUUGCUACAGCUUUUCUCUGUCUAUGCUCUUUUUGCAAAUGUACCUGUGUCUGACUGCUGAGAGCAGUGUGCUGGAAGGACCCCAAGCGUCCGCUUUCCUGUGUGUUAUAGCAAAGCUACUGUGCAGUUCCCAAACCUGCUGUGCUUAAAUUGGAAAUAGAAAGUUCAUGAUCUCAUUAGGGCAGGACCUCUGAAAAGACAUUUGUGUAGGCUAAACUUCAUGGCACCGAGACCAUUGCAGAAAAGUGCUUCUGAAGCAGGUUUUAGUCUGUUCCCCUGGGAGGGCCAUGGCCAGGAUUGGGGAAUGCUCCUGAAUGUGAGUCAUUUCUCAUAAAGCAUAAACAACUCGUUGUAAGCCUGUUUUAUCAGUGCUCUUGAGAACAGUUUCUUCAGCUGCUGCUGUUCUUGAGAUACAUUUAUGGCUGUGGGUCUUACAUUGUGCCAGUGGCUUCUUUAUAGAGCGAAGAAAGUCCUUUACAUACAAGCAUGCCGAGCCUGGAUAUUCUCAAGCUGUAUUGCCAGAUUUUCUCCGGUUGCUGGUUGUUUACCUUGAUGGAUCAAAGAAUUCUUCAGCCACAGUAUUGCUUCUAGAGAGAAGGAAAGCAAAUUCCUGGAAUUCUGACCUGAUGAUUAGCACUUGUUGACUGCGAUACAAACUAAAAGUCGCAUUCAGGUACCAGGGCCGAGUUUUGCUAUGCAUUGUACACAUGUGGAACAAAAAGACUGUCCUCACUUUGGACCUUAUGCAAGUAUCCAACAAGGAAAUGAAUGGCUUCCAAGAGAGGCUUGUAAGGAAACAAAGGAUGAUACUGAUGAGACAGAUAAACUGAUCUCAGCAUUAUUUUGCAGCGUGUUCUUACCAUCUGUGGGUUAAUGUGGGAGGGAGAGAAGCACAGGUAAUUGAUGGUCUUGAAGCUAAUGCAUCUGUGAAGGAAGCUAAUGUCAGGCUAAAUGGCACCAAAAGUUUACUGCUACAGUGAGUGGGAGACAACAGGAAUGUUGGCAAGCCAUGGAAAAUCUUGAUUUUUUUUCUUUUAAGUAAUUUGCUUGUUACGUAAAGAGAUUUCAGCAGAAAAACACAACAAGGAGUAUUGAGAAUUGAAAAAGACAACAGGAAAACAUGGUUUCCUGUGAGGCACCAACCAUGCGUACCUUCCUCUUCAGGCUGGUUGUUGGUGAGGUGUAAUCUUUUCUCUGUCUUCUGCACACUUUUUUCCAGUGGUGGGUCCCAUGGGAAGGGAUUGUAUCAGAAAAUCUGUGUAAUCUUCUGGUAAAAGAAAAGGGGCUGCUGUGUACUUGGGGUUGGUGACACUUAUGGGGCUUUUUUAGUCUGAUGCUCAGCUGGAGCAUCUGCAGGCAUUUGAGUCUGAUAAAGUGGCAGGUGGGCAGAGCCUUCAUGUUGCUGAUGUGUAGCUGACAGUGACUCUUCAGCAUUUCUGAACUGAAGACAAGUUGGGGCAAUUUCCCCUAAAAGAAAGCGAUUUUGGCAUCUUCUGUUUUAAGUUUAAUUGAAUAUUUAAUUUGUAACUUAGUAUAUUUUCUGCGGUUUCAGACUCACUGCUUUUUCCCUGGCUGCGUACUGUUGAUUAAAUACAAUUUGUAAGUUAUUGAGGAGGAUCUAAGCUUGCUUUUAUUUCUUCAUCUCUCUUUGCUUAUGUGAAUUGUUUUGAUACAGAAGAGCCGGUGGAGGACCUUGGGCCUCAACUGGAUUAAAAACAUUUAUUCUCCAUACACUGCUUGCUUUGCUAUUUUUAGCACAGUGUUUUUCCUUUCCUUGUGAUUCAUUGCUCCGUGCCUUGGCUUGCAGGUCACCUGGCUUUGGGCGUGCAGAGCAGGGCCGGAUCUCUGCUGGCACAACAGUGCUGUGCCCCGAGGAGCCAGGUGCUCCUGUGCUGGGGUGGCUCUGGAAGGGGUGGGGGAAGGCUGAGCCCUGUCCCUGAGAUUCUCUGGAAAGUAUGUUCUAAGAAUAGGCGGUACGGGGCGUUACAAGCCCACGUGCGACAGGGAGCAGGGCUGGGCAGUGGGUGACGUGAGGUCAGAGCCCACGGGGACAGCCGGCCCUUGGCUCACCUCUGCCUUCGUGGAGGGACGGCUGUUUUGGACGGAUGUGUUAUGAGUGCAGCGCUGCUAUUCUUGCUCUAGCAGCGUUAAUUUUAGCUUUCGGACGAGUGUCUGAGGCUGUCAGAUGGCCACUCUGCCCCGUGGGGUCUGGGUGGUGCUUCUGGGAGCCCUCAGAUUGCAGUGCAAUGCCUGAACGGAGGGCAGAGGGUCAGCAGGCACACGUGUUUGUUAGGCAUGUGAGUUGGUGAGACAGCAGCGCUCAGGUGGGUCCCGUUCCUAAAAAGAUACUUUCCAAGGAGUGCAUGUAAGGAAAGCCUGACUGUGCUGGGAGCACCUCUUGUGCACCUGCAAUGCUGGUGGUAACACCAGAGCUGCGGGAGCGGCCUGUUUGGGUGAGGGUCAGAACUCAUGCCCCUGAAGAGCUGACAUACUAAUUGUGCACACAGGAGGCCUCAGCUUGUAAUAACGUUUUAAUAGGGCUGACUGCUUUCACCAGAAAACUGGACUAGGUCAUCAGUGUUGUUUUUUUUUUUUCCCCCCCAAAAAUAACUCAUUUCUCUCCUCCCCCUGUCCCACAUCCUUCUCUAGCUCACCGGUUUGCUUUUUAAGACGCCUCAGUAAAGCUAAGAAAUUAAAAGCAGGUACUGAUAGGUAACUUGGAGGAGAUGUUCAACAUGCAGGAGGUCCCUCAGUACUUUUUGGAAUCUGUUCUCAUAUCUUUGCUUUGCGGGCUGAGUGUUGGGUGCUGGUUUCCCAUAAUGUGUGGCUCACUGUUCAGAGGGAUUCCCCUGGCUCUUGCAGCUGUGGCAUCCCUGCUGAUUCCACCCAAAAUGAGUCAGCAUUGGGUGUUUGGAUUUCAUGUUGCAUUUUCCAAAUUUGCUCUGGUUUAUUUUCAAGAGGCCUGGCUAUGAUCUGAAGCACAUGUCACAUGUUGUAACGGUUCUUUUCCUUGCAGUAACCUUAGGGAAGAAAAACAUCAGCUUGUGUCUGUGGUGCUUUUGUCUGUGGUGCGAUAGCAGGUGUUUAUGAAACAAAGUGGGACCUGUGCUUGCACACCAUGCAACUGGCAUUCACUGUGAGGGCUUCUGUGUGCUCCCACUCCAGGUCUGCUCAGCUCCUUGAUGACUCUUCAGAAUCACUCGCUCAGUCUUUGAGAGCUGUAGGCUCUUUACAUUCCUCCUCAGAAAAGAAAUGCUAUUUUAUCAGUGUUAGCAGUGAAAUAAGCACAAGAACACUUGAAAUUACAUUGUCAAAGUUUCCAAGUACUGUAAUUAUCUAAGGUGAUGAGAUAAAGCCUGAAAACGUCAAAGACAUUAACAUUUAGUGUUCGUGGGAAACCUUGAUUUAAAACAAAAAAGGCUUUUUUUGGCACGUCUAUAUUGCUAUGAGUGCUGUUCCCAAAGACACUGACGUAUAUUGUAAAGAUGUAAAGGGACAGAGCAAUGAACUGCUGAGGAACCCAGGCAGCACGGGAUACAAACACGUGGUUUAAGUAGAGGGCUGCUCUGGCAGCUCUUAUAAGCACUGAAAUACCUACUGUAGGGUUUUAAGCGACACUCCAGUGUUGUUUUUUCUUAUAAGGCACAUCUGAGACUGAUUUAUUAUCACAAAUUGGUGCUUUACAUCUUCAGACCAAUCUGUGUAUAAAAUAUCGCAGGAGCCUGCAAAUAGUUGAAUCAUUGUCAAGCUCGAUUGUUAAACAAAUUAAAGAGGAAACUUACGUCUGCGGUCCUGAACUGUGUUGUGUUUAAGGUCUCACAUAAAAUUUCUGGCAUCCAUUUUUAUUUAUAUAUUAUAAAAUGCAGUCACAGCCAGAACUGAACGCAGAGCUGCUGCUGACCUGUUUAAUGGAAGGGAUGCGGUGGCGUCCCCCUGGAGUCAGACCUCCCUGUACUGAAUUGCUGCGACUGCCCUAUGGGUGUUACGCCUGCACAAAGAGGUGAGGUGAAGCCAAAUACGUGUGCUUUUUCAUUGUCAAUUCUGUUAGGCUUCCAUUGAAAGGAAAGCAGCAGAUGUGGGGCUGCGGCAGUGUGGUAUUCACAGCUAGCCGAAGGCCGAGCAAGUUGAUGGAAGCCUUCAGUCUGUACGUGUUGCUGCGGCCAAGUCGGUUCUCGAAUUAGCCAGUUAGAGUAGCAAAGCUCCUCAGCGCCGUCCUCAUCUCUGCACAGCCCCUGCUGAGGGAAGGCCUGGUGAGGGAUGAGGCCCUGUCCUUCCAAGAGGGCUCCGUCAGAACCAGUUAGUGAAGGAGGUCUGAAAAGGUGUUUGAGUGUAGAUUUAGAAAUCUCAUACAGGAAAAUCUGUACUUGAAUAGAAGAACGCUCGCUUGUUUUCUGGGAAAAACCUAAAUAAGUUUCCACAUCUUCCAUAAGCUUAAGGAGGCUCUGUGUUCUGUCCCGGGGUGAUGUGCUGCCUCGUUCCUAGCUCUGCCGGUUCCCAGCCCACCUGGGGGCUGCAGGUGCACGCUGCUGGUGGAGCAAAUGCUCACCUGGGGCUCAGCUGUGCACUCCCCUCCCAUGAACCAGGGCGGGACCUUGAAACAGAACAAUUUUAGCAACUUAUUUUCAUUCUAAUCAAGCAAAAUUUCUUUGUUCUAAUACAACAAUGUACACUGGUGUACACAUUUGUUUCAUUAUAUUGUAAGAUUUUGUUCAGAUUUUUUUGGGGGCAUAUCACAUUUAACCAAGUGGCAAUCUAGGAAAUCCUAAUGUAAAGGAAAACACAAAUUGAUGUGUGUUUAAUUAAGUGCAUUACUGAGGCAAAAGUCCUCUUUGCUUUCAGUACCUGCCUGGUUAUAGCAUGUCAGUACAAGCAGCAUCUUUUGUAACACAUUCUGUAGACUGCUAGCUCCGGGAUUGUGGAAUAUACAGCUUUUCUUGCAGCUCAGUGAACGGGGGUUGGAACUCAGUUUGCAACUUGCUGCCUGUUUUCAGGUAUAGUCUUCCAUUAAAUAAACACAGAUCAUGAAAUCAUAACGAUUGCCCUGUUUCUCCAUUUGUCAUUUCCUCGUGGAGUGAGAAACAAUUUGGCUUACGCUUGUCCUGAAGUGUUCCCUUUCUUUUCCCAAUUAAGUGAAAAUAAAGUCAGUUUGCCUGACCAAAAUACUAACGUCGGAUCUAGAGUUUGGCUUGGUUGAAUGCCAGCAAGUCAAAAGAAGCAGGUUAACCCGAUGUUGCUAGGUAAAAAUAGAAAGCUACAGUUGGGAAGAGCAGUGACUCAGUAAGCAGUGUGGUGAUGGCAGAAUAGGAUGUCAGCCAAGGCGCAGGAAGCGGGAUGGGAACACCCAGAGCAGUUGGGCAGCCUGCGUUUUGUGCUCUCCGAGGGAGUGGUUUCUGAGACGGCUGCCGACUGUUUCAGCUUGAAAUGAAUUAAACCGCUUUUCUUCUGUACUCAUUAAACGGUUUGACCCUGAAUAGGUUUUAGCGAAAGCAGUUAUGUGAAUAGUACUUUUUGUCCAGCCUGACUCUAAGCCCGAUGUCUUUUCAGUGGCUUCAUGUGCUGUACAGCUGGCUCGGGGUGAGUUCGAGGCAGAGAUGCACCCAGCAGCAGUGCGCAGUAGGUGGGCAGUGCCCUGAUGGGGAGCAGCGUCUGCUGGUGCUCAUCCAUUUGUGUGGCUCCGUAGUAGCUUCAUUGGCUGCCACGUAGUCAUGUCUUGGUUUUUUUUGUUUUUUUUUUUAAAUUACCUGUUAAAUGAUGAUGUUCUGGUGGUUCUUCUAAUUUCUUGAUUAUAAAUGGUGGUAACAGCAUCAAAGCAGUGGUUUGUUUCCUUUUCUCCUAUGCAGAACUAAGUAGAUCCAGCACUUGUAUAGCUCCUAGUCUACUCCAUUGAACAUCGGUCUUAAUUUAACAUCCAUGCUACCCUUUCCUGCCUGCGCCUGAGGUGUUGCGGUGAGCAGGUCAUGGUUCAGCUGGAUGCCCUGGGAAAUGAAAAGUGGCAGCAGAAAUGCCACGAGGUGCUGCACUUCUGCGGUAGACUGACUGCUGCUGCAGGAGUCAGUGUGAGGGGGGGAAAAAUCUAUAGAGCAUUCCUAAGGUAAGGUGAGUCACCGGUUCCUUGCAUUUUCUUGAAUUUAAGUAAACUUAGCUAAUGUCUUGUUUCGUGAAAGGAAUAGACUGGCUUAUGGUUUUGACUCUUGAUAGCUUAAAUUAUACUUAAAGCCUUAAUAUUGCAAGGCCUGUGAGCUCUGUGACUUCAGACGUAAUUACGGGCUUGAGGCAUGUAGACACAACAUCCAGAAAAUGAUGGAUUUUGGAGGUUCAAGGGCAGCUUUCUUUGAAGUAGAGCACAACAUGGGAUUAGUUAACUGAAGCAUCCGUAGGUGUUUCUAAUUCCAGAAGAGAAGCUAUUAGUCAAAUGUUUACAUUGUGUUUCAUUUCCUUUACAGUAGUCUCUUGAAUCCCUGCCUUACUCUUAAAACACAGGACUACCUUUAACCCACUUCUCGGAGGAGUGAGAGCCUCUGCUAGGAGGAGAUGGGAACUCCUUGUGCCGACCCUCGCAGAGCAGCCGCUGCUUCCUUAGUGUACCUGACAUCCGUGGCCUGGAGCCUUAGGCUGAAGAGCCUCCUUACAGGCUGCCUGUAAUAAUAAUUAAAAAAUAAAAAAUCCACACACUUCA